CGGGGGCAACCCUGGUGGCGAGUGGCGAACGGGUGAGUAAUACAUCGGAAUGUACCCAGUAGUGGGGGUUAACUAGUCGAAAGAUUAGCUAAUACCGCAUACGCACUAUGGUGGAAAGCGGGGGAUCGCAAGUCCUCGCGCUAUUGGAGCAGCCGAUGUCCGAUUAGGUAGUUGGUGGGGUAAAAGCCUACCAAGCCCGCGAUCGGUAACUGGUCUGAGAGGACGACCAGUCACACUGAGACUGAGACACGGCCCAGACUCCUAUGGGAGGCAGCAGUGGGGAAUUUUGGACAAUGGGGGAAACCCUGAUCCAGCAAUGCCGCGUGUGUGACGAAGGCCUUCGGGUUGUAAAGCACUUUUGGCGGGAACGAAACGGCGCUUUCUAAUACAGAGCGCUAAUGACGGUACCCGCAGAAUAAGCACCGGCUAACUACGUGCCAGCAGCCGCGGUAAUACGUAGGGUGCAAGCGUUAAUCGGAAUUACUGGGCGUAAAGCGUGCGCAGGCGGUUUCGUAAGACAGAUGUGAAAGCCCCGGGCUCAACCUGGGAAGUGCAUUUGUGACUGCGAGACUAGAGUGUGUCAGAGGGAGGUAGAAUUCCACGUGUAGCAGUGAAAUGCGUAGAGAUGUGGAGGAAUACCGAUGGCGAAGGCAGCCUCCUGGGAUAACACUGACGCUCAUGCACGAAAGCGUGGGGAGCAAACAGGAUUAGAUACCCCGGUAGUCCACGCCCUAAACGAUGUCUACUAGUUGUCGGGGAUUCGUUUCCUUGGUAACGCAGCUAACGCGUGAAGUAGACCGCCUGGGGAGUACGGCCGCAAGGCUAAAACUCAAAGGAAUUGACGGGGACCCGCACAAGCGGUGGAUGAUGUGGAUUAAUUCGAUGCAACGCGAAAAACCUUACCUACGCUUGACAUGCCAGAAACCCC
rnacentral:rRNA from 1 species